GUUGGAUCUGGAAGUUUCUACACCGACAGAGGCUUUUGUCUAUAAUAUCAGCGGGUUUAGUCAUUCAUCAAAUCCAAUUUCAAAGCCACCAUCUUUGUUGCAUACCCAAGCUCAGAAGCACAACCAUUCAUCCAGAGAGAACAAUUAUCAAGAACGUUUGUUUCUUCAAUUCAGUUCUCUAAUUUAGACGAAUCAGAAACGAUUCGAGCUCUGUUUUCGGAAUCCAAAAGAAAGAAGGAAAAUCCAAUUCCAAACGACUUCGAUCGUCUUCUUGAGCAUACAAGACACAGAUAGAGAGAGAGAGAGACCGGGAGAAGAAGGGGAAGUGAUGGCAUCUACCAGCACAACGAAACGGGUCAAAAGAUUGUUGGAAGGAGGAUGUAAACCUAAUCAAUUUUAUCAAGUUAAUUCAAAGAGAUGGAAAAGAAUGUUUAAGGAACAAGUAGUUGAAGGAUCGAAUACAGUUGGAGAUGAAGAUGCGUUCGCAAUGCCGGAAGGCCUGCUGCUUGAUUUCCUGACGUGAAUAAAGAUGGAUAAUGUUGCUUCAGAGAAUAAAGAUAUCCAGUUGAGCAGUCAGAGAUCUUUGAAGGAUUGAGCUCCAGGUAAGCUUCUUAUGGUUUAUUGGUUUUAAAUUUUGGUACAUGCAGUUUUGGGUGACUUUAAUGAAUUUGGGAUCUUCAAUUUUGUUUACAUUGUAAAACUCUAUAAUCCAAGAAUACAUAUUAAGUGAUAACCAUCAUGAUGUCCAGCCAAGUAAAGCUCUAACAUAACCUAAGGUCUGAACGUCAUCUGCAAUAACACUAAUGUUUCAAUUGAAAUCAUUCAGUUCAUUGAACCACAAAGAUGUAGACUUUAUUAAUUUUCAUUAUAACAGAAUCAAAAGAAGCAUUUGCUUUUCUGGUAGCCAA